ensembl:misc_RNA
UUGACAGUCCUGUGAAUUGAAUUCUCUUCUUAAACACAAAACAGACAUAUGACAGAAGUACCAGAUUUCCCUCAGUGCUCAGCAAAUGUGCCCCAGCCAUGGCCUGCAUCGACAACCUCUAAAGAUGAGAGAGUAGUUCAGACUCUGUGCCCAUUCAGUCCUUGGCCUCU